rnacentral:rRNA from 1 species
UACGUGAGGGGCCGAGCGUUGUCCGGAGUUAUUGGGCGUAAAGCGCGCGCAGGCGGCCUCGCGCGCCGACGUGAAAGCCCCCGGCUUAACCGGGGAGGGUCGUUGGGGACGGCGGGGCUUGAGGGCGGGAGAGGGUGGUGGGAAUUCCCGGUGUAGUGGUGAAAUGCGUAGAAGAUCGGGAGGAACACCCGUGGCGAAGGCGGC